rnacentral:rRNA from 1 species
UACGUAGGGGGCUAGCGUUGUCCGGAAUCAUUGGGCGUAAAGCGCGCGUAGGCGGCCAGAUAAGUCCGGUGUGAAAGUCACAGGCUCAACCUGUGAAUGCCGCUGGAAACUGUCUGGCUUGAGUCCGGAAGGGGCGAGUGGAAUUCCUGGUGUAGCGGUGAAAUGCGCAGAUAUCAGGAGGAACACCCAAUGGGCGAAGGCAGCUCGCUGGAA